ACUGGUUCCAUGACUUUGCUAUUGUAAAUUGUCCUGCUGUAAACAUGGGUAGAGUUCUGCACUUGAAAUCAGUUCAGAAUUGAUCACCAUGAAAAAAAAUCCAACAACCUUUUUCAGCUGGAGGAUUAAAUAGAAGUAAACUACAAGUGAGUAGAGAUCAGCAGUCCCAAAUUCUGACCACAAAGCAUUUAAACAUGAAAUGGAUUCGGACAAUUCAGUCUCCCUUAUAGUUUGCAUCAAGGAAAUAGCAAUGUAAGAAGCAGAGUGUACAGAAAAAUCUGGCUCAGGCUUGGAAUAUGCACAUUCUCAACAAAAGGAGGGAUAGAACUGAUGGCCUAGGAACUGAAGAAAGGAGCUGAAGGCUGACUAAGGUCAGAUGUUUGUCAAAGUCUCCCAAAUAUAUUUUCCUAGACCCUAGACAAAGAGAAAAAAAAAAUUAAACAGCGAGAGAUUCUUAAAUCUCACUGGACUAUUCACUGAAACAGGAACAGGAAUGUGCCUUGUUUGAAGAGAAGAAUCUGGGACUACAGAACAGCUAUUUAAGCCAAAUGCCCCACAUGAAUAUGACAAUAAACCUUUAUGAUUAUAAA